rnacentral:lncRNA from 1 species
CCACUUUGCACGCAUACAAACAUGUUCUUUAUGCACACGGUCUACGUUAAUAAAUAUCACCUGUACUGAACACCAAAAAAAACUUCCUUUUAAAUAACUCUGAGUUUUCCCUAUAAAACUAAUUAAUUGAACUGAGAAAGAGCUUAAUUUAUAUCUUUACAUCUAUAGCACACCUACGCAAUAAGCCACCAAAAGACUUUCGGAAAUAGAUGUUGAAACUGAUACCUUCUUCACGUGAAACGCCGCGGAGACACUCCCCCGAAACCCUCUUGGCUGCUCCAUCGGUAACACUUUCUUGUGGUGAGUGGGUAACGUCACUCUAGAGCAGCCGUUGCUGAUGUUCAACCGGGGGAGAAAUAUGCUGCUACAGGCUUGGGAUUUCUGUUUAUUCUCUCACUUGUUAAAGACAAUUCUCUAAUUUUUAGGUGGAUUCAUUACAUCUGUUGAUCAUCUGGAUUCAGAGCCUUUAAUUUGACCUUCACAUAAGAAACGUGAAGACUCCCGAAUCCUAAAAUUCUUCUGUGCAGUCGCUCCAGUCUGUAAAACCUGGUGAAGCAUUAUUAGAAGACAAAAAAUCGGUCAAGCUAUGCUACAAAGCCAAAUUGAGUCCUUUAAUGAAUUCAACUUUUAACAAUAUAAUUUAGUUUAAAUAAUAGUAUAUUUAUAGUUACAAUCAAUUUAAAAAACAUUUUCUCGUUUUUCUCCUUUAAAACAUUUUGUUUCAUUCCUGUGAUAAAAAGAAUUGAUUUUUGUUCUUCUACUACAUAAAUUUGCAGAAAAGUGUGGUGUUUUUCUGUUUUGCUUUUACAGCCCUCAGCAAAUUUUGGUAUAAGAGCAGUCAGUGGUGUUUCACAGUCUCUGUGGCAAAUAGUUCACUUUUCCAUGGGUCACACGAAAGUUUAUUCAAGGAAGAUUCAG